rnacentral:rRNA from 1 species
CGCCAUUCACUCCUACGGGAAGGCAGCAGUGGGGAAUAUUGCACAAUGGGCGCAAGCCUGAUGCAGCCAUGCCGCGUGUAUGAAGAAGGCCUUCGGGUUGUAAAGUACUUUCAGCAGUGAGGAAGGUGGUAGUGUUAAUAGCACUAUCAUUUGACGUUAGCUGCAGAAGAAGCACCGGCUAACUCCGUGCCAGCAGCCGCGGUAAUACGGAGGGUGCGAGCGUUAAUCGGAAUUACUGGGCGUAAAGCGCAUGCAGGUGGUUUGUUAAGUCAGAUGUGAAAGCCCGGGGCUUAACCUCGGAAUUGCAUUUGAAACUGGCAGACUAGAGUACUGUAGAGGGGGUAGAAUUUCAGGUGUAGCGGUGAAAUGCGUAGAGAUCUGAAGGAAUACCGGUGGCGAAGGCGGCCCCCUGGACAGAUACUGACACUCAGAUGCGAAAGCGUGGGGAGCAAACAGGAUUAGAUACCCUGGUAG